AGUGAACGCUGGCGGUAGGCCUAACACAUGCCAGUCGAACGGCAGCACAGUAAGAGCUUGCUCUUACGGGUGGCGAGUGGCGGACGGGUGAGGAAUACAUCGGAAUCUACUUUUUCGUGGGGGAUAACGUAGGGAAACUUACGCUAAUACCGCAUACGACCUACGGGUGAAAGCAGGGGAUCUUCGGACCUUGCGCGAUUGAAUGAGCCGAUGUCGGAUUAGCUAGUUGGCGGGGUAAAGGCCCACCAAGGCGACGAUCCGUAGCUGGUCUGAGAGGAUGAUCAGCCACACUGGAACUGAGACACGGUCCAGACUCCUACGGGAGGCAGCAGUGGGGAAUAUUGGACAAUGGGCGCAAGCCUGAUCCUGCCAUACCGCGUGGGUGAAGAAGGCCUUCGGGUUGUAAAGCCCUUUUGUUGGGAAAGAAAAGCAGCAGGUUAAUACCCCGCUGCUCUGACGGUACCCAAAGAAUAAGCACCGGCUAACUUCGU
rnacentral:rRNA from 1 species